rnacentral:rRNA from 1 species
UACGAAGGGGGCUAGCGUUGCUCGGAAUUACUGGGCGUAAAGGGCGCGUAGGCGGAUAUCUAAGUUGGGGGUGAAAUCCCGGGGCUCAACCUCGGAAUUGCCUUCAAAACUGGAUAUCUUGAGUUCGGGGAGAGGUGAGUGGAACUCCGAGUGUAGAGGUGAAAUUCGUAGAUAUUCGGAAGAACACCAGUGGCGAAGGCGACUCACUGGCCCGGUACUGACGCUGAGGCACGAAAGCGUGGGGAGCAAACAGGG